UCUAGAAUAGCUUAAACAUAAAGCACUGACUUUGUAACUCAGAGACAAAUUAAAUAUUUUUCUAGAU
rnacentral:tRNA from 1 species